UUAAUUAGUUGAAGUAACAGAUGAAACAAUGUGUUAAGAAGAAAGAAAAACAAAGGAAAAUAGAGUUAAAAAUUAAUCACUCUAAUUAAUCGUCAAUCAUUUCACGGUAAUUUCAUUAACAAAACAAAGCGAUUAUUGCAAAGAGUAACUCUUUGGAUUAUUGUAAGCGUUUUUCAAUAGCGUCGCCAUCUUACGUAAAAAAGGGUUGAUUAAAAAAGAAAGCAAAUAUUUUUCUCUUUCUAUUUCAUGUUAACGGAAACUUUGAAUGUUUACUGUUGCAUUAAUAAUUUUUUCUGGUAAACUUUUGUCACCCAAUUUGUGUUAAUUCAAUUUUGUGUCACAAUAGCAACAUAACAAGUUUCACUCGUUAAAAAUAAGAAUUGUCAGAAUUUUGACAGUCUACCUGGUAAUUCAACAAUUCAACGUUAGUGUCCAUUAUUUUCCUUACCAUUAGGCUAACCAGCAAGGAGAACAAAAGUCUGCCCAAGUGAUUCUAUUAUUAGAAUGAUCAAUUGAUUACAUUAAUAGAUAAUCUUAUUGUCAUUAUUGAUAUUAAUGGUCAAUGGACCUGUUAUAUUAAAGUCAUCUGUUAUAUCUAGGUAUUUGUAUUUAUAAACCAAAGCAAUUAUGGUGAAAAGGUAUUAAAGACAUCUUUUUAGCAUUGAAAUGUUUUUACGUAAAAGAUUCCAAUUUCUUGAUUCAAUGGCAAGUCUAUUCAUGGCGUGUUAUCAUUAUUAAUAUAUUUCAACAGCAACAUGUUAUGGUUCAAUGGAGAGAUGUAACCUGCCUUUGCUAUUAUGGGAUAACUUUGCUGUAAACACUAUCAACACUUUGAUUAAUUGGGUUCAGUUUAAACUUGAGAGUGGCCAAAUCGAUUGAAUUAGCUGUUCAUUUAACUGUUAACUUGACUGUUAGCUUAACUGAAAGUUACACAAAUAAACAAAGAUUCCAGAAGAAAAAAAGGAAACUCGGUGAACGUUUCAUGCUUAAUCACUUGAAUGUACUGCUGAUGAUUUUUUUGGGCUUCUUCUAAACAAAUUUUUCUAUCCGAUCAAGAGAAAAAGGAUUAUCAUUGAACAAUGAAAGAGAAGGUAAACCCUUUUCCAUUAGUUCUGAUUGAUUACGAUGAAUUAAUUUAAUGUCUAUGGAAUAUAAUUGGAAACAUAAGAGGAAAAAGGUAAUAACAAGGUUGAAAAAGUGCAAUGAAAUAUUAUUAGGUAUUAUCUUUAAAACAAGAGGCUUUGAAAAUUACAGUGAAAACCGUCAGCUUAACUAUUGUUUACUCGAUUCAAGUAAAUAACAAAUAUUUAUAUUCACUUAUCGUAGUCUAUUAAUGGUGAUAUGUGAAUUGUUUGCACCAGAAUUAAAAGUCAAUCACUGCUUGAAACUUUCAAAGUAUAUCAAAAGCAAUAGAAGAAAAUUAAUGAAGAAACAAGAAAUGAUUACCAAACCAAAGGCAAUCAAUUAAUAGGUCACAUAUUUGAUCACUGGUAAUACAAAUUGAGUUAGAUGAACAUUUCAUUGGACAAUCAUUAUUAAUACCAUUUAGUGGACCUGUCAAAAUAAACAGAUGAAAAGUUGAUCAACAAGAAGACCCAGAAUGAUUGAAGACACCAUCAACCAAGAAUCCAACUUAACCAACCUUAAAUUGGCCUCAAAUUAAAUUAAACUUAUCUCCUCUAAUUCAAGCUUUGUCUCAAUGGAUACCAGAAUUGAAGCUCUUAACCCAAAUUGGUUUGGUUUAUUAAACGUAAUUUUGGGUCAAACCUUUCUAAAA